UCAUGGCCAUAUCUAUGGCAUAUAGAAGUUCCCAGGCCAGGGAUCAAACCUGUGCCUCUGCAGUGACCCCAGCCACUGCAGUCCAAGCUUAAUCCAUUGCACUCCUGCGGGAACUUCAGGAAUCUAUAUUCCUAAAUAUUUCUGGUCAUCAGGGCCUGCAUCACUACCACACUCCUUUAAUUAUUGGAUUUUUAUGUUGUAUUCUGAUAUCUGUAGGGCAAGUCUACUCCCACUAUUCUACCUUUCCUAAAUAGCUUAGUUAGAAGAAUAUAUUUUGCCAUUACCAAAGUUAUGCUGUUAAGUCCCAAAUUCCAAUUAGCAAGGCAUUGGCCAAUUAUAAAAAUUACUUAAGAACCUAAGGCUGUUAAUACCUGACAAGGCUUUUUUCCCUCUUUUAAUGAUAUAUUAGUGCGAUUUUCUAAAACUCCCUAUAAAGGGACAGUCUGUGUAAAAUGUCAAGAAUAGAAUCUGGAAUUUGAAUGAACAGUUUUCUUGAUCCAUUAAAAAAUAGCUUAGUUAGUUGCCAGCAGUUAAUUUCCAAAAGAACUUUAUAAUCAAUUGACAAUUCUGAAACAGUCCUUAUGGGAAUUUUGAUUAUAAUUACAGUACAUUUCCAGACAAAAAUGGAGAGAUUUGAGUCACUCAAAUAGAAAAUUUGAUUGCCCAAAUAAAAUAAUAGUGUGUAAAAUUUUCACGAGGUAAAGUUUAUUUAUAAAAUUUACUUAUAAACUAACUAAGAAGGAAAAUAUGUUGUUUUAUGUGAAAAGUGAUCAUGCUGGUGUUUUUCCUUAAAAUAUUCGCAGAACCUAGCACAGUUGGAACUUUGUAGCCUGGCACAGACUAGGAACUCAACAAUGUAGAAUGAAUCAACAAUGGAAUUUAAUAAAAGUUAAUUCCUUUUUAAGAAAUAUCAUUCUUGGUCUAUACAACUUAGAAAAGAAACCGCUAACCCUAGCUGAUUUAACAAGCUAAAAAAACACUUUGAAGCAAAUUAUCUAAGAAAUGAAGGCAACAAGCACAUAAUACUCCACCCUUUUUCUUUCUGUAAACAUCUGGAUCUCUUUUGCAUGCUUUGCAAAGUUUAAAAUGGCUUAAUUGAAUUGGCUAGGAUGUUCUUGGUGGAAAAGGAGGAGGAAGGGUAACUUAUGAGUAAAUAAAAGUAUUGUAAAUAGCUCAGUUCCCUUACACUAUGAUUUAAAUAAGACUCAAUCAGGUUCUUCUAUGACAGAGUAGGACUUCAUGUGAAGUUGCUGGAACCAUAGGUGCUGAAAAUACUAUCUAGAAGUUUGUGGGUAGAACUGUUAAAAUCUGCUGAGAACCCUAACCUAAUUGUUUAGUCAGUUAAUACAUCCCAGCAUAGUUAACAGGCUUUUGUAUUCAUUUCAUCUGGAGUCUGCUGGAACUCUCUUUCUAGAUUUUUUCCAAUACAAAAAGACAUUUUCCAAAUGAUGGUGAGGGACAUUUUGUUAUAUCAAGGACUAAAGACCUUGCUUUUGAACUGUCUCUAGGAUCCAGUAAGGUUUUUCAUGUUUAUGACCUGAACGGCAUAGGAAUAGAAGAUGGAUGCAUUUCCCUAUGGUUCAAAAAGUUCCGAGAGGUCAUUUUCCACCAGUUCAAUGUUGAGCUGCAUCAAUGUCAAGACAUCCCUAAAAUAGAUCAGUCUCAGUUAGCUUUCUCUGCUUUCCUUUCAGCUUUGGAGUUUUGCCUCGAUGUUGCUAACCACACUGCAAUGGAUCCAGCUGUGUGUGACCAUUUGUGGGCCUCCAUAACCACGUGGGUUUGAUCAGCAGUUACCAAUUCUGUAUUAUGCUCACCUACAUAUUUCUCUUGGUUUAACCUUUCCAGGCUUACCAUCCAUGGAGUAAAGAACACCUUCUAUGUAGUGAAGAACUGAGGUGUUUGUUAGUUGCCCUUCCUAUCUGUUCUCCUAGUGAGUAUUACCUCUAAGAAGGAAAAUCUUCUCCAGUAACUUUGACCUUCCACCGUAGAGAGGGAAUCUGCUGUAGGUGUGGUGUGGUGUUCUCAUAAAUACUUAUCCUUCCUCAUGCAACUCCCAGUAAUACAAAGUGUAUGUGCCCUAAGGACUUGAUAAAUAAGACCAUGUAAUCAACAUUUCUAUUGACCACCUGCAGAAACAUAAAAGAGGUUUGACUAUUCAUUCAAAGACAAAUCAAGGAGUUCCUGUUUGUGGCUCAGCGAUAACAAACCAAACUAAUAGCCGUGAGGAUGUGGGUUUGAUCCCUGGCCUUGCUCAGUGGGUUAAGGACCCAGUCUUGCUGUGAGCUGUGAUAUAGGCCGGCAGCUGCAGCUCUGAUUCAACCCCUGGCCUGGGUACUUCCAUAUGCCGUGGGUACAGCCCUAAAAAGAUAAACAAACAAACAAAAAACCCCAAAUCUGUUGCAGGCCUUGGGCUACCUAGUGGGCAUAAAAGAAUGAAUAAUAUAGAUAUGUUUCCUAGAUCCUAGAAUCCCUGAUCCCAGGCUUUCUGACACC
ensembl:lncRNA